UAAAAAAUCGUAACAAGGUCUCCGUAGGUGAACCUGCGGAGGGAUCAUUACACAAAUAUGAAGGCGGGCUGGAACCUCUCGGGGUUACAGCCUUGCUGAAUUAUUCACCCUUGUCUUUUGCGUACUUCUUGUUUCCUUGGKGGGUUCGCCCACCACUAGGACAAACAUAAACCUUUUGUAAUUGCAAUCAGCGUCAGUAACAAAUUAAUAAUUACAACUUUCAACAACGGAUCUCUUGGUUCUGGCAUCGAUGAAGAACGCAGCGAAAUGCGAUAAGUAGUGUGAAUUGCAGAAUUCAGUGAAUCAUCGAAUCUUUGAACGCACAUUGCGCCCUUUGGUAUUCCAAAGGGCAUGCCUGUUCGAGCGUCAUUUGUACCCUCAAGCUUUGCUUGGUGUUGGGCGUCUUGUCUCUAGCUUUGCUGGAGACUCGCCUUAAAGUAAUUGGCAGCCGGCCUACUGGUUUCGGAGCGCAGCACAAGUCGCACUCUCUAUCAGCAAAGGUCUAGCAUCCACUAAGCCUUUUUUUCAACUUUUGACCUCGGAUCAGGUAGGGAUACCCGCUGAACUUAAGCAUAUCAAUAAGCGGAGGAAAAGAAACCAACAGGGAUUGCCCUAGUAACGGCGAGUGAAGCGGCAACAGCUCAAAUUUGAAAUCUGGCUCUUUUAGAGUCCGAGUUGUAAUUUGCAGAGGGCGCUUUGGCUUUGGCAGCGGUCCAAGUUCCUUGGAACAGGACGUCACAGA
rnacentral:rRNA from 1 species